rnacentral:rRNA from 1 species
UGGUGGAGUGAUUUGCCUGGUUAAUUCCGAUAACGAACGAGACCUUAACCUGCUAAAUAGCCAGGCCGGCUUUUGCUGGUCGCAGGCUUCUUAGAGGGACUGUCAGUGUCUAACUGACGGAAGUUUGAGGCAAUAACA